GACGAACGCUGGCGGCGUGCUUAACACAUGCAAGUCGAGCGGUAAGGCCCUUUCGGGGGUACACGAGCGGCGAACGGGUGAGUAACACGUGGGUGACCUGCCCUCAGCUCUGGGAUAAGCCUGGGAAACCGGGUCUAAUACCGGAUAUGACUCCAUGACGCAUGUUGUGGGGUGGAAAGCCUUGUGCGGCUGAGGAUGGGCCCGCGGCCUAUCAGCUUGUUGGUGGGGUGAUGGCCUACCAAGGUGACGACGGUAGCCGGCCUGAGAGGGCGACCGGCCACACUGGGACUGAGACACGGCCCAGACUCCUACGGGAGGCAGCAGUGGGGAAUCUUGCGCAAUGGGCGAAAGCCUGACGCAGCGACGCCGCGUGA
rnacentral:rRNA from 1 species